UACGUAGGGUGCAAGCGUUGUCCGGAUUUAUUGGGCGUAAAGAGCUCGUAGGCGGCUCAGUAAGUCGGAUGUGAAAACUCGGGGCUCAACCCCGAGACGCCAUCCGAUACUGCUGUGGCUUGAGUCUGGUAGGGGAACACGGAAUUCCUGGUGUAGCGGUGAAAUGCGCAGAUAUCAGGAGGAACACCAAUGGCGAAGGCAGUGUUCUGGGCCAGUACUGACGCUGAGGAGCGAAAGCGUGGGUAGCAAACAGG
rnacentral:rRNA from 1 species